UUGAAUUUGACUUCUGUGCUUCCUCCCAUCUGUGAUCGUACUGAAAGUGAGUAUUCUAUUCAAAGGCUUAACCAAUGCCAAAAAUGUAUAGAAAUAUGUAGGGGAAAAUCCUUUUAAUUAGUAACCGAUCACAGAGAAAAAUUUAUCUUGGAUGCUUGUUUCUUACUUUUCCACGUGUUACCAAAUUUAUCAAAUUUUCUUUUGAUGCAUACUUUUCUUGAUCAAAUUUUCUUUAACACAGUUUCUCUCUACAAGCUUCCAUAGUCAGUUACUGCUCAUAUCUUUGAUUUUUUAGAUGCUAUGUGAAUUACUUUUUAUUGGUCAUGGUUUUUCUGUGACUCAGUCUUGAAGAGCUUUUUGCAUCAUCUCAAUGCCAGCACUUUUGUCUGGUUAAAGGUGUAUAUAUAUUUGAUUGUUAUCCGUAUCGUGUAUGUGAUGUAGAGGUGGUUUUUUGUCAAAUUCAAAUAGUUACCUAGUGUCAUUCGUUUGACCGUGCAGUUUAAAAGUCUCGUCAUUUGGUAUUUUUGGAGAUUUGGCUGUCAACUACUGGCUUUUCAAGCUAGUAUGUCUCUCAGAUUUUAUGACCCAAACUUUUGGGAGCAUCAAUGAGAAGAAGCAGCUCCAGAUUUAUGGUUUCUCAUUGUGAGAUAUUUAAAAAUAGAUACAAAACACCUGUAUUGACGCUGUCUAGGAUGGCUGAUUGCGAGUAAAGAAUAAGGUGGUGCAGCAAUUAUUACUGGGAAUUACAAUGAAAAUCUCAGGAUGCUAAUGGGUUAUCAGGAAUUGUGAAGGAAAAGAGUUCGGGAUGGGAAUUUGCUAUCUCUAUUUACAUUUUCUGGAAUUGCAGCAUCUUUAACUGUUGAGCAAUGACUGUUGCUUCUUCCUGGGUGGAGGAUUCUGUUGGUUGUCAAUGAUACGCUUUCUGGAAUUGUAGUUCAGAAACUUCCUCAGAAAUUCAGGAGGACAAAGUGAAUUGUGCCGGAGCAGCUCACAAAUGAGUAGGAAUGAGGACAUCUUAGGCCCUAGAAUUCUAGAGAAUGGUCAUAAAUGCCUGGAUAUAUUACAUGAACGAACUGCUGGCUUCAUCGUUCACGAGACUAUUCCAAUCAUCGAAGACAUUGGACUGCUCAGGUGCUUCUGCGGGUAUAGAA